rnacentral:rRNA from 1 species
GUGGAAACAGGUGCUAAUACCGAAUAAAACUUAGUAUCGNCUGAUACAAAGUUGAAAGGCGAUACGGCGUCACCUAGAGAUGGGUCCGCGGUGCAUUAGUUAGUUGGUGGGGUAAAGGCCUCCCAAGACAAUGAUGCAUAGCCGAGUUGAGAGACUGAUCGCCCACAUUGGGACUGAGACACGGCCCAAACUCCUACGGGAGGCUGCAGUAGGGAAUCUUCCACAAUGGGCGAAAGCCUGAUGGAGCAACGCCGCGUGUGUGAAGAAGGCUUUAGGGUCGUAAAGCACUGUUGUAUGGGAAGAAAUGCUAGAAUAGGGAAUGAUUCUAGUUCGACGGUACCAUACCAGAAAGGGACGGCUAAC